AUGGCUGUACCUGCAGCAUAUGGAAGUUCCUGGGCCAGAGACUGAAUCGAUGCAGCAGUUGCGACCUAUAUACACCACAGGUCCAGUAAAGCCAGAUCCUUUUAAACUACUGCACUGGGCCGGGGAUCAAACCCAUACCUCUGGAGUGACCCAAGCCACCGCAGCUGGAUCCUUAACUCACUGCACCACAGUGGGAACUCCUCUCUUGCAUUUCCUGAAAGUUACACCGAGGUAGGAUCUCUCAACUCUAGAGGGGAGGGGAGGCUCGUUUUUCAGCUUUGUAAAAAUGCCACUGUGCUCUCUUUUAUCUUAUUUGUUUCUUCCUCUCAAUCUUAUGUCUCUAACAUUCAUCCAGGUUGUUGCCUGUACUUACUGCCUAGGGUUCUAUUCUAUGCAUUGAUUCUUCUAUUGAAGGAAAACGGGGUGAUUUUCAAUGACCUGGUUUGGGGGGAGUUGUUUGGCUUUGAGAAAGAGAAUGUUAUGACAUUAUUAUCUAUGUGUCCUGAUGCAUAUGAAGAAGAGUUUUUCCCAGGGUACACACGAAGAGCGGAACUGAAGAGGGGUGAAGAGUCUGGAGAUGGAGUCCAAUGUGAGCCUUUUGAUUAUUAAGAGAGUCUCUUUUGCCAGCUCCAAAGACGCUGCCUUGUUGCCUUGGCAGAAUUUAUUUUCCAAACUCCAUUCAGGGACUUUCUACUUCAGGACUUCCUGAACAAGAGCUGUUCAGCCAAAGUUCAUCUCUCACGCUCACACAGAGGGGGUGGUUUUAGAAAGAGAAAGCCCUUUGGUUUGAAGCGCGGCUCUUCCAUGGACUAACAAUGACGUUGGACAAAUCUUGUUUACCUCACAGGACAGCGCUGAAAAAUACCCAGGAAACGUCAUUACAGUUGAGAUGUUCAGGGUUAGGGCAUCCAAAGAAGUAGAAUGAAAAGCAUGUUCUAGGCUCCUGAGGACAUGACGAAAGGGCCAGAACACAAGGGCAUCCAAAGGACGCUCUAAGCCUCACCAAGGUGUCCUCUGUGCCUCUGACAGUGCCCUGGUGACCAUCCUUCCACAUCUCAGAUGGCUCUGGACUCAAAUACCCGGUCAGCGGGACCAACGGAAAGGGAGGAAGAGAAACAACUCACUGAGGGGAUCUUAUGAUCUCCCCCAAGAGAAGGUAAGUUUCUCUUGCUCUGAAUUCUUGCUUUUUUUUUUUUAAGAGAUGAAAGUUUUUCUCUAAUCUCCUCCUCAAUCUUGAUUUAUUUUUCCCGGUGGAUGCAUGCACCAGACACACCCACCUUUUUGGCCUCAAAGAGACUGUCCCUCUCUGGACCAGACAAUUCUUGAGGUAGCAAGGGGCCCAGCAUGCCUCUGAUUUGCAAACAAAGCCAACCAGAACCUUCCUCCCUCCAUCAGGUCCACACACCCCCAGAGGUGAUGUUCUUCUGGCUUAAUGGUCCAGGGCCAGGUAUGAGGCAGCUAGGGGCCAUCCCCAUAGCCCAAAGCCCACCAAAAUUAUUCAAAGUACAGUCCCAGGCUGUUUACUCUUGCCUUCAGAAACCCCAGUAAAGGCUGUGGUCUCAGAGUUCCCCCUGCUCCUGUCCUCUGCCUCCUGACCACUCUGGUGUCUUUCCUACAUGGCCUCAUGUGCCAUGCCUUCUGUCUCUGGCACCUGUGGGGUAAUAACGUUUGUUUUUUUGAGCCUCUCUGUGUCUCCUCUUAUAGCUGCACCUGACUGACCAGCUCAGAAAAGAAUAGAAAACCGUUGUUGAGAAUUUAUCAUGACUCCCGUCCUUAUGUUACCAAUGAGCAAACUGGGGUGGGUGUGUGCUGCAGGAGUCUCUUGAAUCUUAAACCUCCUUUGCUUUAAUAAUGGAACAAACUACUUACGCCUGUGUUAUGAUGCCACUCACCUCCACCCAGAAAGAAAUGUGAGCAGCUCCCAAAGGCAAGAGGAGACAGACUGACAUGUUCUGGGUGGUUCUUCGUUUCAGGACACUCUAAGCUUCCUGUGAGGCUCCCCAGGAAGGGAGGGCCUUGGCUAGUUUAUGGCUUGGGUCCCCACAUUUAGUGUCUCCCUCUGACCCAAAGCCUCAGCACCUUUACCUGUCAAAGGGACAUUACAGCAGGUAACUAUUAAAAAACACAACAAUCAUUACAACUAAUUACAGCUUUUACAACUACUUUGAAGAUCUGAGAUGAAAGACACUUCAUGAAGGCAGAUAUGGUGACAGGUGAGCCAUACAAUUAAUUAAACAAUCUUGUGCAUAAUCACAGGCAGAGUGAUCUUCAAGAGCCAUGAGGCUGGGUUGAGGCAGCUCCCAGGCCCUUCCCAUGGGCUGAUGGUCAAGAGUAUCUUUCAUCUCUCUUCAUUAAACUCCUCACACCUAAGGCUCCCUGAGCUUGCCCCUCCUCUGCAAAAUAAGGGCAGCACCAGUACGCAGCUCAGGGGCCUUUCGUCCACACAAAAGCAUUGAGUUAAUUAGCAGGUCUAAUAGAAAGUGUUUUCAAGGCCUCACUUUGAAUACUGGCUCUUAUUAGCUCUUAGUUCUGAGCAAAUCUUAAUCUCUCCUAGUCUUAUUUUCCUCAUCUCUAAAAUGGGGUAAUUAUCUUACCUAACCUUGUUGGAGGUACUGCUGAUUAAACAAGAAAUUAGCACAAUGCCCGACACGUGGUCAGUGUUCACUACAUGAAAGUCAUUGUCACUGACAUAUUGCAGGUAACUGGCCCUUUCUUCGAACAUGGUUAAGCAACUUGUCCACGGUUGUCUGCAGCCUUUCCUCUAGGCUGGAGACAGUCACAAUGUAUAUCUCUGUAAAUAAAAUAAGCCUCUUUUUGUGCAGAUGAAACUGGGUGGGUGGAUAUUCACCAGACUUGGAAGGUGUCUUUAGAUCUGGCUUAAAAUAAAGGCUAAGUAGUAGAUAGGAUUCCAUAGGGGCUGUGGCUAUAUCGAUAGGCAAGCAUCUUCCAGAGCAGCUAAAACUGAGAUAACAGUGUCUGGUCCACAUGGCUCACUGAUUAGGAAAGUAGUUCCUGAUCUAUGAUGCCAUGUAAGAGGAGGGGCAGGGGGAGAGAAAGAGAGAGAGAGGGAAGAUAAAGAUAAAGACAGCUGUCUUUGGGGCAGGUAUGGUCUAAGAUGGUGCGCUUUUUUACUGGGGCAACUCCAUAUGGUUAGAGAAGCAGCUGUAGGAGUUAUUUAUUUCAUAAUGAUGAAUGAUGAUGCUUAGCAGCUCAUAUUCUAAGUAGCCAGAUUCCUCGAUUUGGUUCCUGGGUUACAUAUGCUAAGAGACCAUGGAGAAGAGGAUCCAGUGGCCUUGACCCUGUGCUAAUCCCAUGCUCCCCUGCAGCAUGUGGAAGAAAACCAGGAUGUGUAGGGGAACAGCAAGAAGAAGGUCAAUGAGUAACACUGCUACUCUUAUGAGGAGCACAGCAGGGACCCCAGCACUCCCAGGUGAUGGUGCAUCCAGCCCACGAAGCCUUUUUGCUUUCACAUGUCUCUUGGCUCAUGGGAGGAAGUGUGAAAGCUGCUUUAUUCUCCCCACUUGACAGACAUGGCAACUGAGGUUCAAGGAGGCUGAGGGCCAUCCUCGAGUCACUCAAGGUGGCCUGCCCUGGGCCAACUGGUCCCACAGGAUGUGUCAUGUCAAGGGUCAACAAAUGGACCUGAUGGGACACAGAAACAGUACAGUGACUUGGGAGUAGGGUCUAGGUGCGUGAGGGAGGCAGGGAGGGAGUGUGGUCUGAAGCCCACUGUUCUUAGGCAAGAGGAAGGUGACGAAAUGACCUUUUGCCUUCCUUGAUCUUAGAAGCAGCCCCAGCUCUCAGAUCCCAGUGGAUCUGCCUUCUUGGUGGUCACUAACCAUGCUUCAAGGCAGCAGAGAGUGCUCCUGAGUUGGCACCUUGGGGUUGGGUCUCCAAGGCCAGGGCCCAGAACCUUGGCUCCAGUGAGCACCUUGCAGGUCUUGGAGGAAAUGGCAGCAUCGACGAGGCAGGGGACCUCGGAUCUUACCUGCUGUGAUGGGUGGCCAGGCCCAAGGCCCUGAACAAGAAGCAGACAACAGGGUCACAGAAAGCAGCCCUCACUGCUGUGCUGCUUUGUAUCAGCGCUAAGGGUCUCUGGGGGUCAUCCAUUUCUACGCGUAUUUUUUUUUUUUUUUUCCAGAGCCAUCAAAUCAAAUUGAUUUUUGGUCAUUUUAACCUGGAGUUCCCAUCAUGGCUCAAGGGAAAUGAAUCUGACUAGCAUCCAUGAGGAUGCAGGCUCAAUCCCUGGCCUUGUUCAGUGAGUUAAGGAUCCAGCCAGUGGCUAUAGCUCCGAUUUGACCCCUAGCCUGGGAAUCUCCAUAUGCCAUGGGUGUGGCCCUAAAAAAAAAAAAACAAAACAAACAAAAAACAUGGGAAGAGAAUUUUUGAGUGACUUUUGGGAAACAAACAACCCGUCCCAAAGGGAGUUUGUGACAAGAAUCCUAAUCACUGUUUAUGAAGCACCUACUACACAUCUUUACUUUAGAUCCUUUUCUACUCCUCCCACAAGCCUCUGAGGGACACAAUAGCUCAAAUGAUGGGUACCUACUUUUCAUGCCUUCUCUCAUUAAAUCCUAAAUUCCCAAUGCUGUAUGUAUUAUUACCCUAAUUAUUAAACGGAAGAUCAAACCAUCACAUGUAACGUGCACAGACUCACACAGGCAAUGACAGAGCUGGGAUUCUGACUCAGGGCUGGGUGUCAUCACCAAGCCACUCUUUCGACUGGAAUCUCCUGGACUAGGUUGUCCUACCUUAUCCCCUAGCAUAUUUGCCUCCAGAUUCUGACUCACCUGGAAGAGCAUGCAUAUGGGGUGCUCAUUUAUGAAACAAGGUCAUGGUAAAGGGAUAAAGACAAAGGCGAGCAGGACGAACAGCCCCCAGCCAAGGAGAAGGCUUGUGUCAGUCAUGGUCAGGUCCAGCCCUGCAACCUGCAGCCGAGACACUGGGCUGGAUGGAUCUCAGGAAGGCUCAGCUUCUGCACGGGGGCAGAGGGACUCUGCAAAGCUCGAAACAGAAAUACACAUCCUGCUCCUCAGCCGGUCAUCAGCAUUAAAUGAAAUGCUGCAGGUAAAAGUCUACACAGGCCCUGGGAUAGAGGCACUUGGCCCUUAGGGAAUGCCUGGUGUAGCGUGGAGAUGACCAAGAGACUGGUUUUCACUCUUUGUCCCUUUCUGGGCAAGGAUAAGACCACCCAGCUCUUUGGCAGCAGGGUCUAACUCCAGCCCUCCCAAGCCAGAGACCCUCCUGGGACACAUGCGAUAGGGAAGGGAAUUUGAAAGAGCAGUUCUUGUCCCAUUUCUGCUCCUGAAGUCAGGUCUGAGCUGCCUGUCUGAGGAGGCCAGUUUUAGCCCAUAAAAAUACAAAAAGACCAGUUAAAUUUAAAUUUCAAGUAAACAACAUGGACUUUUCUGAUUUAAGUGUGACCCAGUGCCUAUCCUCGCGUCUGUGUUGUAGGCACACGUUCCUCUGGUUGGCUGUUCUUGGCAGAGGGGAAGCCCUGCAAGAGGCUCAGACCCUGGAUGUGCCUGGCACCAUCCUCUCUGGAGACCUGAACCCAGCCAAGGAGACACAAGUGGCUCCAGGAGGACCCAGCAUCAGUCCUCUUCCCUGAGUAGGGACAGAUGGGCGAACUGGAUGCUGCAGAUGUUGGCGCAGAUGAGAAAGACCAGGUGUCUCCUGGGGAAGGGCCUAAUGUGAUGUCAAGUGCUGCCAUCCCAGGCCUUAAUGGAAGGAGCUGCUCCUAAGUGGGUCUUUCCCACAAAGCAUUUCCUUUUCUCUCUCCCUCCCCUCCUCUUCUCCCUCAGCUUCCUCUUCCCUCCCUUCUGGAACCUAAGGCAGCGAGUGGCUCUCAAUCAGGCCAAGUGUGCAUCCAGUUCCUGUGGCCACCACGGAAGGCUGAGUGCUGCACAGGGAGUCCCUUGGUGGCUGUGUUGUGCCUUCUGCCACCCUGGCUGUGAGGGCCUGGCCCAGGCCCACUCUCCCAGGACAUUCCUCCCGGCCCUGUGCAGGCACAGCUGUCAGGAUGGGCAGGCCCUCACCUGAGGGCCUCGCCUGGAUCCCGGCACACCUUGCCCCCAUUGCCCAAGGACUGGCAGCGGAUCAAAGAGCUCUGGUUAGAACAACAUUUGGCAGCCAGAGGUGGCUCAGCAAAAUGAUCCUGGCCUGGGUGCAGGAGCUGAGCCUCCUGGAGUGCGGCGUGUAAAGCCUCCAUGGCUUCUGUCUGCGGCCGAGCCCUGGUAUCAGCCCCCCUCGCAACCUCAGUCCCCCCCAGUCAAGUCCUUCCAUCCUGGUGCUGCAGGAGCCUUCAUGAGCCUUGGCACCUGGAGUGUGCAGCCUGGCCUGUGUGCUGUGCCUCCUGCCCUGAAGCAAAAUAUCAGCAAGCAAGGCUACCGUUUCAACACAGCA
rnacentral:lncRNA from 1 species